CCUACGGGAGGCAGCAGUGGGGAAUCUUGCGCAAUGGGCGAAAGCCUGACGCAGCAAUGCCGCGUGAGGGACGAAGGCUUUCUGAGUUGUAAACCUCUUUCAGCAGGGACGAUUGUGACGGUACCUGCAGAAGAAGCACCGGCCAACUACGUGCCAGCAGCCGCGGUGAUACGUAGGGUGCAAGCGUUGUCCGGAUUUAUUGGGCGUAAAGAGCUCGUAGGCGGUUUGGUAAGUCGGAUGUGAAAUCCCCAAGCUCAACUUGGGGUCGCCAUUCGAAACUGCCAUGACUAGAAUCACGUAGGGGACCACGGAAUUCCAGGUGUAGCGGUGAAAUGCGCAGAUAUCUGGAGGAACACCAGCAGCGAAGGCGGUGGUCUGGGCGUGUAUUGACGCUGAGGAGCGAAAGCGUGGGGAGCGAACAGGAUUAGAUACCCUAGUAGUC
rnacentral:rRNA from 1 species